CGCCUACAUGAAGCUGGAGUUGCUAGUAAUCGCGAAUCAGAAUGUCGCGGUGAAUACGUUCCCGGGCCUUGUACACACCGCCCGUCACACCAUGAGAGUUGGCAAUACCCAAAGUUCGUGAGCUAACCGCAAGGAGGCAGCGACCUAAGGUAGGGUCAGCGAUUGGGGUGAAGUCGUAACAAGGUAGCCGUAGGAGAACCUGCGGCUGGAUCACCUCCUUU
rnacentral:ncRNA from 2 species